GAAAAGGCAAACCGUCGUUUCCCGUGCCAAUGUUUGAUUGUUCAUCUUAUAUGAAAUUUUUUUAUAAUUAGUAUUUCCAUUGUUGUUAGAUGAUAAAACAUGAUUAAUAACUUAUCUUUUUAAUUUUUUUUCAUAAUUUUUUCAAAUAAGAUGGACGGUCAAACAUUGGACACGGAAAUCAGGGUUUAUCUUUUU
rfam:Oryza glumipatula chromosome 6, whole genome shotgun sequence.